ACAUGACACAGGUGCCAUCCACACUCGAGUUCCAUUUGAUCAACCUAUCUUUAGUAGGAAGUCUGCCUUGUAGGAGCAACCAAAGGUUGAAAAGUGCUUUAGGUCGAGCAGGAUUCUGUAUGGUUAAGUUCUUCCAAAAGACUCUUGUAACUGUCCAAUCUGUUGAAGGUAGAUCAUUCUUAUAGAGCAUGCUGGCUUGUGUAACAGUUGAUAUUGCUGCAAUAGAACAGUACCUUCAAUGAUCUUCCGAACCAUCCAACUGGCUUGUUUAGGAAUAUUUAUGGCCUCCAAUUGUUGCUGCUUGAUAUAGACUGUGUGAAUCCAUUUC
rnacentral:lncRNA from 1 species